rnacentral:lncRNA from 1 species
CGGAGGGAACGUAGUGCAUGAAGUGGCGGCACGUGCAGGUGACGCGGACUUGAGCCCGUUGCGUGUGGCCGGAGCGAUUCCGAUUCAUCCGGGUUUCCUCCGGCAGGAAAGGAGCAAGUCGGAGUUGGAAAACCCGCAGUCACCUCUUCUGACUCUGGACAUGGUGGACAAGUUCUUGAGCUUUGCCCUGCCGUUGAACAGCGACAAGGGGCAUCCGUACACCUGUCCAAUGGGGCCGGCUGCGUCGCCGAUCGACGGUCUGAAGCUGCCUCCGUUUCUGCUGUGCGUGGCGGGUAAUGACUUGAUUAAGGACACUGAGAUGGAAUAUUAUGAAGCCAUGAAAAAGGCUGGAAAGGAUGUGGAGUUGUUGGUGAAUCCUGGAAUGGGUCACAGUUUUUAUCUCGACAAGAUUGCAGUCGAUAUGGACCCAAACACUGCUGCUCAAACUUGUAGUCUUUUUCAAGGAAUAGCGGAGUUUAUGAGGAAGCACUGAUCAAUUAUCAAUUUUUUAAUCCAUAAAUAGUUGAUUAUCCGAUUAAUGGUGGGGUUUUUCUUAAGUUACAUUUGUCGUAACUUAACAACCCAAUUAAAAUAUACAAAAAUAAGUAACAUUGCAAGCGUGUGAUUUUUACAUUGUUUUAGUUGUGCUCCAAGUUAUUACAAUAAAUGGAACUUAACAAAACCCUAAUGGUGGAUGGAUGUGGUCCUGUAUGACUUGGCAAUGUUGUUUUAAUAGUAGUUUAGUGUAGUUGUGCUCGCUAUUAUAUUAUUUUAUAAAAUAGGGACAUGCUUUGAAGUAACUUUCAUGUGGAAUGUGCUGUGUAAAAUAUGUAUAAUAUGUGUGUACUAGCAGCUUGGAAGUUUUUAAAUUGUUACUCUAAUAACAUUUUCGGAAUUCGAUUUAUGACUUGCAAGUGAGACAAUUUCAUUUUGAGGUUGUGGUGUGAUUUCAGCGAAUUGAGGACCGGAUAGUGUAAUGGUGAAAUUGAGUUAAUUUCACGAUACUCCUUCAUAUGUUGACAUCUGUAUAUACUUUUAUUUAUCACAAAUUAUUUUCAAAAUUACCUUUAUUUACUAUUAAAAAAUAUGUAAUCAAUUAAUAGUAAAUGAGGGUAUGUUGAACUUUUCAAUAGUUUGAAGAAAAAAAUUAAAUAUGUAGAAAGAAUAAACUAAAAUUUACCCAACGAAUUAUUUAGAAAAAAAUUGAUUAUCGUAUUUGAUGAGUGCUACAUUAUUGUCAUUUUGAAAAAAAUUAAUGGUUUGUUUACUUUGCAGCAAUCAGAGCAAACUAUAAUCAAAAUAAUGAAUGAAAAUCAAAAUAAAUUAUUUACUUUAUCUACAAGAAUUGGAUCCGAAUGAGUUAUAUUCCCACUGGUAUGUUUAUUUUAUGAGUAAUGAUACAGCCACAAACUAUUGUACAAACUUAUUUUGUACAAACUGACGUGUCACUAAUUCAUUGGUUGAAUGAAAAUAUAAAAUAAUGAAAACAAAUCAUGUGGGCCAAGUGAUAUUUAAUUCAACCAAUCUUAUCAUGCCACAUAAGUUUGUACAAAAUAAGUUUGUACAAGAGUUUGUGGCUAUAUCAUUACUCUUAUUUUAUUAUAUAUUUAGAAUGGAUUAUUAUAAGUUAUUAAAAAGUUUUUAACUAAAUUUAUGUAUUAGUUCACUCACAAAAUAAUAAAUAAAUAUUUUUCAAUGAAAUAUGUUGUAUGCAACAAUAGUAGUAGUAGUAGUAAUUAUUAUUAUUAUUACUACUACUAUUAUUGCAGAAAAUAUUACUGUAGCGAUACAUACAUACAGUCAUACACACACACACACACACACACAUAUAUAUAUAUAUAUAUAUAUUUAUAUAGAGGAGUAUUAAUAUUUUUUUUUGUUUUUGUUAGAGGUAAUAAAAUCACUCCAGAGAUUUGGAAUCUCAUUAUAGGUAUCCCAUUCGACUAGAAUUGGUUGGUCCUACCAUUUUUUUCCUCAUUCCAUGAUUCAAUAUUUACAAGUAAAUAAAAUAAGCACAAUAAAAAUGUUUCUCUAGUUUCAUUGCCAAUCUAAAAAGAAAAUACACUCUAAAGACAAACGGUAGGCUGUGGAAUGAUUGGACGGUACAUAGUUUUUGAAAAUAAAAUGGUACAGAAUUAGUUGAGUCUCAGUUGAACAGCAGAAGGAUUUGAUAAUUUUAAGAGCACCACUAGAAGGCUUUAGUAAUUUUAUUCUUAAAAUAUCAAUUUGUUUAUUUAUGUGGUAAAUACUAGAGUAAAAUAAACACACUAUUCUUCAAAAGGCUUUUCACAUAGAAAUAAUCUACUAUAAUUUUAAUCAAAUAACUAAUUCUUCUAAAAGAAAAAUAAAUAAUAAUUAUAGCACUUUUCUCUCUCCAAUAAAAAUAAUAAAAUAUAAAUUUAAAAAAGAAACAUAAUAUUGAAGAGAGAAUAAUAUUUAAUUGAAGAGAGAAACAUAUUAAAGUAUCUUAUUUGAACCAUUUUUUAUUUGAAUAAUUUUUUAUUUAAAGAGAGAGAAACCUUUUUUAUUUAAAAAAUAAUAAUUAAAAUAUUUUUUAAAAUUUUAAAUAUUGAUGUGACUUUUUAAAUAAGAAUUAUAAUUUUAUUUCAGUAGUCUUUAUGUUCUCAAAGUCAUCAAACCGUAUGGACCGCAAGAAAGUGCAUGCAUUCAUUGAAGCGUUGAGGAAAGGCUGCUAAUCAAUGUAUAUGAUGGAAUAGAAAAACUUCUACGGAUUGGGUGUAUUAUGUCAACGUGAUAAGGGAUGGAGGUAAAAUGAUUUUACUGGGGUCAGCUGUCUCCACUUAAUUAAAAAAAAAAAAAAAACACUCAACUUUCUAUUUUAUGUUUAAGUAUUGCCCCUGUAAUAUUUAUUAAUCUGCCCCAUUGAUUUUAUUGUUCUGCCCCUUUGCCUUUUAAAGUUAUUUUAACAACUCAAUAAUCUGAAAUUGAAAUCCCAAUGACGCUAAUCCUUAUGUAUUGAUAAGAAAGAUAUUUUGGAUAGCAUUGAUAACGAAACUACUAAACAACAUUAUUAACUCAUGAAAAUGCAAGCGGAUAUGUGCCUAUAUGACUUUGGCAAUUCAGUGUUGAUUUGCUAAUAAUUAGUGUAAUUGUGCUCAAAGUUACUUAUUAUUUUAUUAAAUAAGGACAUCCGGGUUGGAGUAUGUAAUUUUCACGUGGAAUGUGCUGUGUAACAUAUAUAUAAUAUGUGUGUACCAGCAGCUAGGAAGUUAAUGUGACUCCAAUAACGUUGUAGGAAUUGGAUUUAUGAUUUGCAAGUGAGACAAUUUCAUUGUGCGGUUGUGGUGUGAUUUCAGCAAAUUGACAACUGGAUAGUGUAAUAGACAAUUAGAUUUAAUUUUACCUUACUCUUUUUUACGUUGACAUACUUUAAUUUAUUUCCAAAUUAUUUUCGAAGUCACCCUUUUUUACUAUUAAAAACAAAAAUUUCAUUAAACACAACUUUCAUUUACUCUGAUCUAUUGAAUCAUAAAUGAAGAUGUGCCGAUGUUUUCAAUAGUCUAAGAAAAAAACUAAAUAUGUGAAAAGAGUAAACUAAAAUCUAUCCAAUAAAUUAUUUAAAAAAUUAUUAUUGUAUUUUAUGAGUGUUACAUGCAUCGCUGUGACUUGUACUUUUAGAUUUUUUUUCUUAUUUAAUAAGUUGUUGAGGUAUAUAACUUUACACCUAAUUUUUAAAUGUCAUUAUAUAUGGCAUCAAGCUGGAAUAUUAGAUGUGAUUAUAUAUAUACAUAUACAUACGUACAUACAUACAUACAUACAUACAUACAUACGUGUAUGUAUGUAUGUGUAACAACUAUCUAAUGAAGAUAUCAUCAUUUCAUAAAGUAAGGAUAUCGGUAACAGACAAAAAAAAUAUAUAUAUAAUUUUCAAUGUAUUGAAAUAUACAUUUUAGUGGUAUCUUAAUUUUGUUAAAGUGCCCUAUAUGUAUAGGGGGCAUAAAUAAAAUUUAUGUGUUUUAUUAUAAUAAUAAAGUCACUCCAAGACAGAAUCUCAUUUCCAAUCCUCAUGACUCAUGAGAGUGGGAUUUUCAUUCUUCAUUUCUAAAUUUGAUUGGUCCCAUCAUUUUUAUUCUUAUUUCUUGAUUUCAUUAUUACAAGUAAAUACACACAAUAGAAAUAAAAGGAUUAUUAUCAUUUUACUAUUUUAAAAAUUGUAAAAUAUCAAAUGACUACAAAUAGUAUUAUCCUAUAUUAUUUUACUAUCAUAACUUUGUAAAAUUUUUUAUUUUAUUACUUAUUUAUUAAGAACAUUAGUUGACUAGUUAGUUGACUAAUAAAAUAUCAAUUUUAUCUGUUAUGGUAAAAUAUAAAAAUAGAGGUAUCAAAUAAUAGACAUAAAAUUAGUGUUACACCCUUAAAUUGUUAAAAAAUAAUUUUAACCAUGAAUUUUAUAAAUAAUAAUAAAUUUAUUAUAAAAAUAGUGAAUUGACAAAAAUAUCCCUGGAUUGUUUAGUUAAAAAAGGGGAUAAUCUAUUCUUAAAAAACACUUAAAAUUGGAAAUGUUAAUUGUGUAGAUAAGCUUUAAUUUUUUUUAGAAUAAAUUAUUUUUAGAAAAAUAUUUAGGAUAUUCUUGUCAGCUCGCUACUUUUAUAGUUAUAAUUAAUUCAGGGUUAUUCAUAAAUUUAUGGUUAAAACCGUUAUUUAACAAUUUAAGAGUAUAACAUAAUUUUUUAUCUAUUAUGUGAUACCUCUAUUUAUGUAUUUUUAUCAUAAAUGAUAAAAUUGAUAUUUUACUAGUCAACUAACUAGUCAGUUAAUGAUUUUAAUAAAAAAGUAGUAAAAUGAAAGAUUUUACAAAGUUAGAGUAAUAAAAUAAGGAAACAAUUUUUUUUUAUAGUUAUUUGAUAUUAUACAAAUUUUGAAAUAGUGAAACGAUAGUAAUGGUAGAAAUAAUUCUUUAUUUUUAUUUUCUAAUCCAAGAAGAGAACACACCCUCAACAUGAACGCCAGGCUGUGGAUCUACUGUAUGAUACGGAAUUAAUUGGCUCUCAACCGACCAUGAUUUGAUACCCUUAAAGGCAUCAAACUGUGUGGCCCGCAAGAAAUUGCCCACAGUUAUAUUUAUUAAAACGUGCCUACAGGCUACAAGCCUGCAAAAGCACUCAUUCAUGCAUUCAAACGACAGCGGUUUGGUCUGUGAUUAACAAGUGGUCAAGAAAACUUUCCUUGAAGUGUUGAGGAAACGCUAUCAAUCAACGUACAUGGGGGAAUAGAAAAACUUCAGCGGGUUGAGUGUGCCAUGUCAGCAUGAUUAGGAACGAAGAUAUAAUACUGGUAUUGGGUCGGCUAUCCCUUAUUUAAUUAAAAGGAAAUAGUUAAUUUUGUAUUUUACGUUUAAGUAUUGCUUUUGUAAUUUUUAUUACUCUGCCUCUUUGAUUUCAUUGUUCUGUCUCUUUGUCCUUAAAAUUAUUUGAACAACUCAAUCAUUUGAAAAUAAAAGCCCAAUGGCUCUAAUCCAUAUAUAUUGAGAAAGAUUUUUUGGACAAUAUUGAUAACAAAUCUAUUGAACGACGUUAUUAACUCGUGAAAAUGCGACAUUGACAGUUGUAAAUGAUGAUGACAGAGUUAUUUUUAUGAAUGAAAGAUAUAACUUUUGUAUUUAUUAUUAUUUUUUAAAGGUGCCCCUAUAGAGUAAAUUUUUGGUUCCUUCGCUAAGUAUAAUCAUAUACAAGAUAUCCUCAGUCGAUAUAGGAUGAUUUUUUCAACACCCCAUCACGGUAUUGUCUCAAACUUGUAUUAUUAGAAGUAGGGGUGGGCAAAAUCGGGGUCGGGUCGGGUUCGGAUCAACCCGAUUCGGUUUCGGGUUGUUCGGGUUGGGCAAACAUUGAUCCAAAUGCAACCCUAACUUACAAUCAGACCCGAUCCGAUCCGAUAUAUGUUUGGAUCAGGUCAAAAAAUCAGGUUGAGUUCGAGUCUUGGAGCAAUAGAAUGGAGAUCAGGUUCGGGUCUUGGAGCAGCAGAAUGCACAUCGGGUUCGGAUCUGCAGCAAAUCGGUGGCACUUGGCACUUGGUAGCAGAUCAGCGGCCAGGGACGCGAAGCAGCAGAUGGGAUGACGCGCACUCGCGUAGUAGCAAAUCGGGAAUCGAUUGGGUGCGCAGCAGGCAGCAGCAAUCGCAGACCAGCGAACUCGCAGCAGCACUGAGUAGUGAGCACAUGGGCGGAUUCGCAACAGAUCGGACGCUUUCUUGAGGUGUGGACUCCAUUGGUGACUUGUCGUUGGCCGUUGGGUGUGAUUGACCGUGGUCUGUGGAUGUGUUUUGUGCGCAGCAGCAGACUUGUGUUUGUGUGUGUGUAUUGUAAAUGAACCUGUGAUUUGUCUUGUUUGUGUCCGUGUGACUGUGUGUGGCGUGCGUGUAUGUGUUCAAUUUUUUUUUCUUUCAAGAAACUCGAUCGGGUUUUCAGAUCGAAUCGGGUACAGCCUGAUCCGAUCACAACUCGAUCGGGUUUCACCAUUUUCAUCCAAUCGGGUUGUAAAAGCAACCCGAUCCGAUCCGAACUUGAAAUUUUUCGAGUUGGGUUGGAUCAGGUUGGGUAAUUUGCCUACCCCUAAUUAGAAGGUUUGUAUGACCAUUUUUUUAACACAAGCAAGAGUUUAUGUGCUUAGAAGAAGGGUUUGUAUCAUCAUCUUUUAACACAAAAAGAAGUAUGUGUUUAUCUUAAAAAGGGUCGAAAAUACUAAUUGUCUUAUGCCUUCGAGGCACAUGGUGUUAAACGAUUUUUAAAAAAAUAGCUCUAAAGUUGAAUAAGUUUUGAAGUCUUAGCUAUUUCAUAAAUUACAAAACAACAAAGUUUGAAAGUUUAGUAACUUUUUAUAUUAUUAUUAUCCUUUCACCAUACCAACUAUGUCAAAAUAAUAAAUCACUAUACGAAUUAUUGAAGUGUAAUAUUUCAUUACAUUAUUAAAAAGUAAUUGUUUACUACUUUUCCGUUAAUUCCAUUAGUUGACUUGUAAAAUACUAAUUUUAUCUUUAAUUAAUAACUUCUACGAAAAUAAAUAAAUAAAUAUAUUAAAAGAAAGAAUUAUUGAUAAUAUCCAAAAUAUCCCCAAAAGGUCAAUAAUUAUUUUAAUUGUAUAAUUGAAUAAAAAUUGUUAGGUAAAAAGACAAAUUUACGCUUCAUAUUUUAGGUUAUAUUACAAUUUUGGGUUAAAUUUGUUGUAAGGAUAGAUUUGCCCCUUUGAUAUCAUCAUUUAACUAACGGCAUUAAUGUAAACUUAGUGAAUUUCUAUAGUGAAUAUAGUGAAAUAUUAUACUUCAAUAAUUCGUGUGGUAGUCUGUUAUUUCAAUAUAGUUGGCAUAGUUGAAGAAUAAUGACCUUUUCUUUUUAACAUUGAUAUUUAUAAUAAAAUAACUAACAGGCUAAAUAUAUUAUUUAUAGAUAGUUCUACUCCUAUUAUAUUUUUAUGUGGGCAAUAUAUUAUACCCACUUGUUAAAUUAUUUAUUUUUUAAAAGCACAACAAUAUAGCGACAGAAAGAAAUAAGAGACACAAUAAUGUAGAGAGGAAUUGUAUUCAAUCUCAAGUAUGUACAAAUAAGGAGCAAAGACCUCCUUUUAUAAUAAUACCACCACAAAAUGGUAAGUAAUACGUUAUAAAUAUAAAGGAUAAUAAUUCUUAAAUUAGGUAGACAAUUAAUGUUAUAAGAAAGCUAAAAAUUGCUAAUAGGUAGAUAAAAAGAUUUCUUUGAUGAAUAUCGACAUAAGCUAUUAUUAUGAAAUAAUAAAGUUACUAUUAUUGUUGGGUGAAAAUAAAGCCAAAGUAGGCUAGAACAUCCCUCCGUUUGUAGGGGAUGUUGUGCAAAUGUUAUUGUAUUCGCAAGCACACGAAUCUAUUAUAGAAUAGAUUUAUGCUGAUGAGUAUCCAUCUAAUUAAGAGGUGAUUUCUUUAUUUUAAGGAUUCAAAAUAAAAUGGAGAGAAUGAAUUAUAGAUGAAACAAUGCAAAUGAAGUGUUUGAGUUUCUGGAUUCACACUCAACAUUUCAUCAUGGACUCAAUAUUUCCUUAUAGUUCCAAUUAAUUCAUGAGGGAGUAUUUCCACUCCUCAUAAUUCUCAAUCUAAUAAAUAUGGUAUUAAGUGCUUAGUGUGCCAAAGCGUAAUGAUUUUUCACUAAGUGUGGUGUCAAGAACACGUCGUGCUAAAUGAUAAUAAUCAUUCUGUCGACAACAUGACAAGACCGUCAACUAAAUAGCUUAGAUGCACUCUCUGUUGAUAGAGUCAAGACGACUCACAAAUACUAGAGGGAAAUUUUCUCUCUAAUAAAUAUGUUGCUAAGUGCUCAUCGUGCCAGACAGUAACAAUCUUUCACUAUGAAGUCGAUAU